rnacentral:misc_RNA from 1 species
GAAAUGCGAUAAGUAGUGUGAAUUGCAGAAUUCCGUGAAUCAUCGAAUCUUUGAACGCACAUUGCGCCUUCUGGUAUUCCGGGAGGCAUGCCUGUUCGAGCGUCAUUAAAACCACUCAAGCUUUCUUGCUUGGUCUUGGAGGCAGAGCAGCCCAACUUUAUUUCUAAGGUUGACCUCGGAUCAGGUAGGGAUACCCGCUGAACUUAA